rnacentral:rRNA from 1 species
GGCUCAGAUUGAACGCUGGCGGCAUGCUUUACACAUGCAAGUCGAACGGUAACAGGUCUUCGGAUGCUGACGAGUGGCGAACGGGUGAGUAAUGCAUCGGAACGUGCCCAGUCGUGGGGGGAUAACGCAGCGAAAGCUGUGCUAAUACCGCAUACGAUCUAUGGAUGAAAGCGGGGGACCGAAAGGCCUCGCGCGAUUGGAGCGGCCGAUGUCGGAUUAGCUAGUUGGUAGGGUAAAGGCCUACCAAGGCGACGAUCCGUAGCGGGUCUGAGAGGAUGAUCCGCCACACUGGGACUGAGACACGGUCCAGACUCCUACGGGAGGCAGCAGUGGGGAAUUUUGGACAAUGGACGCAAGUCUGAUCCAGCCAUUCCGCGUGCAGGAUGAAGGCCCUCGGGUUGUAAACUGCUUUUGUACGGAACGAAAAGGUUUGUCUUAAUACGAUGAGCUCAUGACGGUACCGUAAGAAUAAGCACCGGCUAACUACGUG